AUGGACUUAUUUCUUCAAAAAUUUAAAAAGGAUUUUAUCUUUGACAGUGAAAUUCCUAAGGACCCCUUGAAGGCCAUUCUGUUGGAGUUAGAAUGUCACUUUACAUGGAAUUUACUUAAGGAAGACAUUCUGUUUGAUGUGGAAGAUACAAUUGGGCAGCAGCUUGAAUUUGUCACCACAGAAUCCAGACUUACUCUUUAUAACCUAUUGCCCUAAGUGAAACACCUAAAAGGCCAAAAUGAAGAUGCCCUAGAAUGCUUGGAACAAGCAGAACACAUAAUCCAGCGAGAGCACUCGGACAAAGAAGUUCGACAUCUGGUCACUUGGGGAAAUUAUGCCUGGGUGUAUUAUCACAUGGACCAGCUUAAGGAAGCUCAGAAGCAUUUAGACAAGAUAGGGACCACCUGCAAGAAACUGUCCAGUCCUUCUGACUACAAGUUGGACAGACCUGAGAUUGACUGUGAGAGAGGGUGGGCACUCUUGAAAUUUGAGGAAAGUAUUACCACAGGGCAAAAGCGGCUUUUGAGAAGGCCCUGGAAGCAGAACCUGACAAUCCAGAAUUUAACAAAGGUCAUGCCAUCACAGUGUACCAGCUGGACGAUACUGACAGACACGGGUGUAUAAAGAGCUUUUCUCUGGGCCUGCUGAGGAAGGCUGUCGCCCUGAACCCAGGUAACGCCUACAUUAAGGUUUUACUGGCACUGAAGCUUCAAGAUGUACAAGCAGAAGAUGAAGGGGAAAGGUAUAUUGAAGAAAUCCUGGACCAAAUAUCCUCCCAACCUCAUGUCCUUCGUUACACAGCCAAAUUCUACAGGAGAAAAAAUUCCUGGGACAAAGCUCUUGAAGUUUUGAAAAAGGCCUUGAAGGUGACACCAAUGUCUUCGUUCCUGCAUCACCAGAUGGGACUUUGCUAUCGGGCGCAAAUGAUCGAAAUCAAGAAGGCCACAGGCAACAGACCUAAAGGGGAGGAUAAACUGAGAAUGGACAGGCUUAUUACAAUGACUAUCUCUCAUUUCAAAGUAGCUGUGCGACGAAACUCCAAGUUCCCAUUUGUCUACACAGACCUGGCCAACAUGUAUGUCAAGGCAGGCAAGUGUAGUAAAGCUGAAGAAGUUUUCUAGAAAGCACUUCAUCUGGAGAACAUAACUGAUGAUCACAAACAUCAGAUCUACUACUACUACGGCCGCUUUCAGGAAUUUCACUGUAAGUCAGAAAGUACUGCCAUCCACCAUUAUUUAGAGGCCUUAAAGAUCAGCGACCAGUCAUCCCUCCGUCCCAAACUGACAAGUGUUCUGAAGAAAUUGGCUCUGAAGAGACUUGGUCAUGAUGCUUCAGAUGUGCAGAGUUUAUGUGCCCUAGGGCUUGUUUAUAAGCUGGAGGGAGAAGAGAGGCAAGCUGCUGAGUACUAUGAGCGGGCCCAGCGGAUAGAUCCAGAAAAUGCAGAGCCCCUUGCUGCUCUCUGUGAACUUCGACUUUCUAUUUAAAUAUAUACUCUAGGAAAUUGUUUUUAAGCUUUUCUUACCAUUUUGGGCUCAUAUAUUUUUGUUUAUUGUUUUAAUCCAUUGGUUGUUUUUUUUUUUUCAAGAUUU